GUGGGGAAUAUUGGACAAUGGGCGAAAGCCUGAUCCAGCAAUGCCGCGUGAGUGAUGAAGGCCCUAGGGUUGUAAAGCUCUUUUACCCGGGAUGAUAAUGACAGUACCGGGAGAAUAAGCUCCGGCUAACUCCGUGCCAGCAGCCGCGGUAAUACGGAGGGAGCUAGCGUUGUUCGGAAUUACUGGGCGUAAAGCGCGCGUAGGCGAUUUUCCAAGUCAGGGGUGAAAGCCCGGGGCUCAACCCCGGAAUAGCCCUUGAAACUGGAAGACUAGAAUCUUGGAGAGGUCAGUGGAAUUCCGAGUGUAGAGGUGAAAUUCGUAGAUAUUCGGAAGAACACCAGUGGCGAAGGCGACUGACUGGACAAGUAUUGACGCUGAGGUGCGAAAGCGUGGGGAGCAAACAGGAUUAGAUACCCGAGUAGUCC
rnacentral:rRNA from 1 species